rnacentral:rRNA from 1 species
CAGUAGCCGCGGGAAUACGAAGGGGGCUAGCGUUGUUCGGAUUUACUGGGCGUAAAGCGCACGUAGGCGGACUUUUAAGUCAGGGGUGAAAUCCCGGGGCUCAACCCCGGAACUGCCUUUGAUACUGGAAGUCUUGAGUAUGGUAGAGGUGAGUGGAAUUCCGAGUGUAGAGGUGAAAUUCGUAGAUAUUCGGAGGAACACCAGUGGCGAAGGCGGCUCACUGGACCAUUACUGACGCUGAGGUGCGAAAGCGUGGGGAGCAAACAGGAUUAGAGACCCCCGUAGUCCCUGUCUCUUAUAC